AUUGAACGCUGGCGGCAGGCCUAACACAUGCAAGUCGAGCGGUAACAGAUCUAGCUUGCUAGAUGCUGACGAGCGGCGGACGGGUGAGUAACGCGUAGGAAUCUACCCAGUAGCGGGGGAUAAGCCAGAGAAAUUUGGUCUAAUACCGCAUAAUGUCUUCGGACCAAAGAGGGGGAUCUUCGGACCUCUCGCGCUAAGAUUAGCCCAGGUGAGAUUAGCUUGUUGGUGAGGUAAGAGCUCACCAAGGCGACGAUCUCUAGCUGGUCUGAGAGGAUGAUCAGCCACACUGGAACUGAGACACGGUCCAG
rnacentral:rRNA from 1 species